GCUAAUGUAGCUUAAGUAAAGCAUAACACUGAAGAUGUUAAGAUGAGCCCUAGAAAGUUCCAUAAGCA
rnacentral:tRNA from 2 species